rnacentral:lncRNA from 1 species
AUAUUUCAAAUCUUGUUAUUAUAUCUGUUUUGCAGAUCUGUAAUCAGCAAUCUCUGAUGUUACCAUUAUAACUGUCCUGGGGUGUCACAAAUUGUGCCCAUAUAAGACAGGAAACUCAGUCUUGGCAAAGUGAGUUGAAAACCUCCUGGAAAGGAUUCACCAUUUUAAAUGCCAUUAAGAACAUUUGUGAUUCAUAAGAGGAAGUCAAAAUAUGAACAUUAACAGGAGUUUGAAAGAAGUCGAUUAUCACUCUUAUGGAUAACUUUGGGGAGUUGAAGACUUCAAUGGAGGAAGUAACUGCAGAUAUGGUAGAAAUAGCAAGAGAACUACAAUUAUAAGUGAAGCCUGAAGAUGGGACUGAAUUGCUGCAAUCUCAUGAUAGAACUCGGAUGGAUGAGUGAUGAGGAGUUGCUUCUUAUGGAUGCACAAAUAAAGUGGUUUCUUUUUUCUUUUCCUUUUUUUUUUUUUUUUUUUUUUAAUUUUUGAGACAAGGUCUCACUAUGUUGCCCAAACUGGAGUGCAGUGGCACAAUAACAUCUCACUGUAGCUUGACCUUCUGGGCUCAAGCAAUCCUCCCACCUCAGCCUCCUGAGUAGCUGGGACUAUAGGUAUGCACCAUCAUUCCCAGCAAAUUGAUUUUUUUUUUUUUUUUUUUGGAGAGAGAGUGUUUCCCUAUGUUGCCCAGGCUGGUCUCAAACUCCUGGGCUCAAGUGACCAUCUCAUUUUGGCCUCCCAAAUUGCUGGGAUUACAGCAACUACUGCAACUGGCCAGAAAGUGUUUUUUUGCGAGGGAAUCUGUUCUUGGUGAAGAUGCUGUGAACCUUGU